GACGAACGCUGGCGGCGUGCUUAACACAUGCAAGUCGAACGGUGAAGCGCCUUCCUUUUUGGUGGGUGUGGAUGAGUGGCGAACGGGUGAGUAACACGUGAGUAACCUGCCCCCUUCUUCUGGAUAACCGCAUGAAAGUGUGGCUAAUACGGGAUAUUCUGGGUCUGUCGCAUGAUGGGUCUGGGAAAGACAUUGUUUCGGUGGGGGAUGGGCUCGCGGCCUAUCAGCUUGUUGGUGGGGUGAUGGCCUACCAAGGCGGUGACGGGUAGCCGGCCUGAGAGGGUGGACGGUCACACUGGGACUGAGACACGGCCCAGACUCCUACGGGAGGCAGCAGUGGGGAAUAUUGCACAAUGGGCGCAAGCCUGAUGCAGCGACGCCGCGUGAGGGAUGGAGGCCUUCGGGUUGUGAACCUCUUUCGCCAGUGAAGCAGGCCUGCCUCGUUUGUGGGUGGGUUGACGGUAGCUGGAUAAGAAGCGCCGGCUAACUACGUG
rnacentral:rRNA from 1 species